GUACACUCCUACGGGAGGCAGCAGUGGGGAAUUUUGGACAAUGGGCGAAAGCCUGAUCCAGCAAUGCCGCGUGAGUGAAGAAGGCCUUCGGGUUGUAAAGCUCUUUUGUCAGGGAAGAAACGGUGAGAGCUAAUAUCUUUUGCUAAUGACGGUACCUGAAGAAUAAGCACCGGCUAACUACGUGCCAGCAGCCGCGGUAAUACGUAGGGUGCAAGCGUUAAUCGGAAUUACUGGGCGUAAAGCGUGCGCAGGCGGUUUUGUAAGUCUGAUGUGAAAUCCCCGGGCUCAACCUGGGAAUUGCAUUGGAGACUGCAAGGCUAGAAUCUGGCAGAGGGGGGUAGAAUUCCACGUGUAGCAGUGAAAUGCGUAGAUAUGUGGAGGAACACCGAUGGCGAAGGCAGCCCCCUGGGUCAAGAUUGACGCUCAUGCACGAAAGCGUGGGGAGCAAACAGGAUUAGAUACCCUUGUAGUCCCAUGA
rnacentral:rRNA from 1 species